AAAUGUCUUGACGCCAACAAUCCACAUGCUUUAACUGCUGUAUUAUACAAAGGAAUAGCAUACGAGAAUUUGGUUGCUGAAUGCUAUAGAUCUAGUUUAUGGAUGGAACCUUAUGGAGAGGACGGAGGAUGGGUACAAAUAGAUGGAGCUUACUGGGCUCAACCCCGAGUUCGAGAGAGUAUUCCACGUUGCUCCCGUUGCAAAUCUCGGGCACACAAAAGAUCUAAUUGUCCAAAAUAUUGAA
rnacentral:sRNA from 1 species